UACGUAGGGGGCAAGCGUUGUCCGGAUUUAUUGGGCGUAAAGAGCUCGUAGGUGGUUCGGUAAGUCGGAUGUGAAAUCUCCAGGCUCAACCUGGAGGGGUCAUUCGAUACUGCCGUGACUAGAGUUCGGUAGGGGAGUGUGGAAUUCCUGGUGGAGCGGUGAAAUGCGUAGAUAUCGGGAGGAACACCAGUGGCGAAGGCGACUUCCUGGCCUGUUCUUGACGCUGAGGCGCGAAAGCUAGGGGAGCAAACGGG
rnacentral:rRNA from 1 species